rnacentral:rRNA from 1 species
UGGGGAUGCGUCUGAUUAGCUUGUUGGCGGGGUAACGGCCCACCAAGGCGACGAUCAGUAGGGGUUCUGAGAGGAAGGUCCCCCACAUUGGAACUGAGACACGGUCCAAACUCCUACGGGAGGCAGCAGUGAGGAAUAUUGGUCAAUGGACGAGAGUCUGAACCAGCCAAGUAGCGUGCAGGAUGACGGCCCUAUGGGUUGUAAACUGCUUUUAUAAGGGAAUAAAGUGAGUCUCGUGAGACUUUUUGCAUGUACCUUAUGAAUAAGGACCGGCUAAUUCCGUGCCAGCAGCCGCGGUAAUACGGAAGGUCCGGGCGUUAUCCGGAUUUAUUGGGUUUAAAGGGAGCGUAGGCCGGAGAUUAAGCGUGUUGUGAAAUGUAGACGCUCAACGUCUGCACUGCAGCGCGAACUGGUUUCCUUGAGUACGCACAAAGUGGGCGGAAUUCGUGGUGUAGCGGUGAAAUGCUUAGAUAUCACGAAGAACUCCGACUGCGAAGGCAGCUCACUGGAGCGCAACUGACGCUGAAGCUCGAAAGUGCGGGUAUCGAACAGGAUUAGAUACCCUGGUAGUCCGCACGGUAAACGAUGGAUGCCCGCUGUUGGUCUGAAUAGGUCAGCGGCCAAGCGAAAGCAUUAAGCAUCCCACCUGGGGAGUAC